AUUAUUUUGGCAGAUUAGUGCAUUAAAUUUAGGAUUUAAUUAUGUGAUUUAUAUUACAAAUAAU
rnacentral:tRNA from 1 species